rfam:TPA: Bos taurus chromosome 25, whole genome shotgun sequence.
UCAGAUGGUAAAGAAUCUGCCUGCAAUGCAGAAGACCCAGGUUCAAUCCCUGG